ACGCUCGACACCUACGGGAGGCAGCAGUGGGGAAUAUUGCACUAAUGGGGGAAACCCUGAUGCAGCGACGCCGCGUGAAGGAAGAAGUAUCUCGGUAUGUAAACUUCUAUCAGCAGGGAAGAAAAUGACGGUACCUGACUAAGAAGCCCCGGCUAACUACGUGCCACAGCCGCGGUAAUCUGAGCGGGCUGGCAAGGC
rnacentral:rRNA from 1 species